GAGGCUUUAGCUUAAUCAAAGUACCUGGGUUGCAUUCAGGUGAUGCGGGAUAAAGUCCUGUAAGUCUUA
rnacentral:tRNA from 1 species